rnacentral:lncRNA from 1 species
UGGUUGAUCAACGAUUAAGAAUCAUUUUGGGGUUAAAUGAUCAAUACGAUUGACAUUUAACCUAGUGCAAGUGUUGCAGGAGGAUUGAUUAGCAAUUCGAUUGCUAAUUGGCUUAAUUUGAUUAAGCCAAUGGGCUGAGAUUAAGUCUAAUUGAAUAUGAUUUAAUUAGAUUUGGUUUGGGCUUGAUUGGAUCAAGUCCAAUUGGUUUAUUGGAUAAGCCAAGUGCAAGAAAAAACUAGUCCUAGUUCAA